rnacentral:snRNA from 1 species
GUGCUCACUUCAGUAGCACAUAUAUUAAAUUUGAAACAGCACAGAGAUUAGCAUGGCCCCCGAACAAAGAUGACCUACAGAUUCCUGAAGCAUUCCACAUUUAA